UACGGGGGGGGCAAGCGUUGUUCGGAAUUACUGGGCGUAAAGGGCUCGUAGGCGGCCAACUAAGUCAGACGUGAAAUCCCUCGGCUUAACCGGGGAACUGCAUCUGAUACUGGAUGGCUUGAGUUCGGGAGAGGGAUGCGGAAUUCCAGGUGUAGCGGUGAAAUGCGUAGAGAUCCGGAGGAACACCAGUGGCGAAGGCGACACGCUGGGUCAUACCUGACACUAAAACGCGACAGCAUGGGGAGCGAACGGG
rnacentral:rRNA from 1 species